rnacentral:rRNA from 1 species
UACGUAGGGCGCAAGCGUUGUCCGGAAUUAUUGGGCGUAAAGAGCUCGUAGGCGGUCUGUUACGUCCGCUGUGAAAUCCCAGGGCUUAACCCUGGGCUUGCAGUGGAUACGGGCAGACUAGAGGCAGGUAGGGGAGAAUGGAAUUCCCGGUGUAGCGGUGAAAUGCGUAGAUAUGCGGAGGAACACCGAUGGCGAAGGCAAUCCCCUGGGCCUGCACUGACGCUCAUGCACGAAAGCGUGGGGAGCAAACAGG